rnacentral:rRNA from 1 species
UACGGGAGGCAGCAGUGGGGAAUAUUGCACAAUGGAGGAAACUCUGAUGCAGCAACGCCGCGUGGAGGAUGACGCAUUUCGGUGUGUAAACUCCUUUUAUAUAGGAAGAUAAUGACGGUACUAUAUGAAUAAGCACCGGCUAACUCCGUGCCAGCAGCCGCGGUAAUACGGAGGGUGCAAGCGUUACUCGGAAUCACUGGGCGUAAAGCGCAUGCAGGCGGUCUAAUAAGUUGGAAGUGAAAGCCUAUGGCUCAACCAUAGAACUGCUUCCAAAACUGUUAGACUAGAGUCUGGGAGGGGAAGAUGGAAUUAGUAGUGUAGGGGUAAAAUCCGUAGAGAUUACUAGGAAUACCAAAAGCGAAGGCGAUCUUCUGGAACAGUACUGACGCUGAGAUGCGAAAGCGUGGGGAGCAAACAGGAUUAGAUACCCUGGUAGUCCACGCAGUAAACGAUGAAUGUUAGUCGUUGGUAUCCUAGAGAUAUCAGUGAUGCAGUUAACACAUUAAACAUUCCGCCUGGGGAGUACGGUCGCAAGAUUAAAACUCAAAGGAAUAGACGGGGACCCGCACAAGUGGUGGAGCAUGUGGUUUAAUUCGAAGAUACGCGAAGAACCUUACCUAGCCUUGACAUAUUAAAGAACUCCGCAGAGAUGUAGAGGUGCCUUCGGGAGCUUUAUUACAGGUGCUGCACGGCUGUCGUCAGCUCGUGUCGUGAGAUGUUGGGUUAAGUCCCGCAACGAGCGCAACCCUCGUCACUAGUUACUAACGGUUCGGCCGAGGACUCUAGUGAGACUGCCUUCGUAAGGAGGAGGAAGGUGAGGACGACGUCAAGUCAUCAUGGCCCUUACGGCUAGGGCAACACACGUGCUACAAUGGUUAGGACAAUGAGAAGCAAUAUCGCGAGGUGGAGCAAAUCUAUAAACCUAAUCUCAGUUCGGAUUGUAGUCUGCAACUCGACUACAUGAAGCUGGAAUCACUAGUAAUCGUAGAUCAGCUAUGCUACGGUGAAUACGUUCCCGGGUCUUGUACUCACCGCCCGUCACACCAUGGGAGUUGAUUUCACCCGAAGCGGGGAAGCUAAACUGGCUACCCUCCACGGUGGAAUUAGCGACUGGGGUGAAGUCGUAACAAGGUAACC